UAGGGAAUCUUCCGCAAUGGACGAAAGUCUGACGGAGCAACGCCGCGUGAGUGAAGAAGGAUUUCGGUUCGUAAAACUCUGUUGUUAGGGAAGAAAAAAUGUAUAGUAACUAUAUACAAAAGAGACGGUACCUAACCAGAAAGCCACGGCUAACUACGUGCCAGCAGCCGCGGUAAUACGUAUGGGGCGAGCGUUGUCCGGAAUUAUUGGGCGUAAAGGGUACGUAGGCGGUCUAUUAAGUCAGGUGUGAAAGCGUGAGGCUUAACCUCAUUAAGCACUUGAAACUGAUAGACUUGAGUGAAGGAGAGGAAAGUGGAAUUCCUAGUGUAGCGGUGAAAUGCGUAGAUAUUAGGAGGAAUACCGGUGGCGAAGGCGACUUUCUGGACUUUUACUGACGCUCAGGUACGAAAGCGUGGGGAGCAAACAGG
rnacentral:rRNA from 1 species